rnacentral:rRNA from 1 species
UACGUAGGGUGCAAGCGUUGUCCGGAAUUAUUGGGCGUAAAGAGCUCGUAGGCGGUUUGUCGCGUCUGCUGUGAAAACUCGGGGCUUAACCCCGGGCCUGCAGUGGGUACGGGCAGACUAGAGUGUGGUAGGGGAGACUGGAAUUCCUGGUGUAGCGGUGAAAUGCGCAGAUAUCAGGAGGAACACCGGUGGCGAAGGCGGGUCUCUGGGCCAUAACUGACGCUGAGGAGCGAAAGCGUGGGGAGCGAACAGG